GUGCUCGCUUCAGCAGCACAAAUACACAAAUUGGAACAAUACAUAGAAAAUUAGCACGGCCCCUGAACCAGGAUGACAUACAAAUUCGUGAAGACAGUUCUUCUUUA